GAUGAACGCAAGCGGCAGGCUUAAUACAUGCAAGUCGAGGGACAGCACAGGUAGCAAUACUGGGUGGUAACCGGCAAACGGGUGCGGAACACGUACACAACCUUCCUUUAAGUGGGGGAUAGCCCAGAGAAAUUUGGAUUAAUACACCGUAAUAUAGUUGAAUGGCAUCAUUUGAUUAUUAUAGCUACGGCGCUUAAUGAUGGGUGUUCGGCUGAUUAGAUAGUUGGCGGGAUAACGGCCCACCAAGUCUACGAUCAGUAGCUGAUGUGAGAGCAUGAUAAGCCACACGGGAACUGAGGAACGGGCCCGACUCCUACGGGAGGCAGCAGUAAGGAAUAUUGGUCAAUGGACGCAAGUCUGAACCAGCCAUGCCGCGUGAAGGAUUAAGGUCCUCUGGAUUGUAAACUUCUUUUAUUUGGGACGAAAAAGGGCCUUUCUAGGUCAACUGACGGUACCAGAUGAAUAAGCACCGGCUAACUCCGUGCCAGCAGCCGCAGUAAAAC
rnacentral:rRNA from 1 species